ACACACUCUGAACCUUUUCCUUAAGGCUGUAUGCUUGGAGCUCCUGGGGACUAAAAACCGAACAAAAAGAAACACGGACACAGUGACUGCGUAUCUGCUCAGAGUGCCUUCCAAACAGGUGCCCCCAAUACCGAAGAGGAGGAGAGGGGCAGGUGCUCCAACUUCUAAAGGGAUGUUUGUCGAUAGUCCAUAAAGAGAACAACCCAUCAUCCGGCCCUUGCACCUGUUCAAGUGGGGUGUGUGAAAUUAAGCAACGGUGCGAGCAGGCAACAGGAGGCGCCUGGCCCUGCUAAGGGCUGGCGGUGCUGCUAACACGAACC